rnacentral:lncRNA from 1 species
GCAACAGGCCCAGAUAAAAUGUGAGUUUUAACCUUAACUCUCACGGAGUGUGCUGAGUUUUAAAUGUUAAUAAUGACAGAAAAGUUGACAUGAGAGUCACAGCCCUCUCUCCUACACACUUUUUUAUGACAAACCUUGUGUCCAAGGAUAUAACAGAACAUUUCAUUUCUCUUAUCAAAGCCAGGUUAUCUUUACAACACUCCUGAGAUAUGACGGCAUCCUGAGGAGCCAGGGGAAGGGGGGGGGGGGGGGGCGGAGUCCCUCACGCUUCCCUACAUGGCCCUGGUCAGCAUCUUGGCACCACCACUGCGGAGUUACUAGAAACUGGAGUUAAGACUGUGGGCAAUGGUACAACAGCCUAAUGCCCAUGUCUCGGGAACUGUGUGUUUGGGCCUUCGUGACCUUGCAUUUGCCCUUGCCGUGCUUGGGGGGUAGGUCUUACUAAGUUCAUCUCCCACAUGAGAAUACUGGAGCUCCCAGGGGUUCUGUGACUCGCUGCAGGUCACAAAGCUGGGGCCUGGAUUCUGAUUCACAGGUGUCUGGCUUCCCCUGCACCACAUGAAGAAAGGCAUCCCAUUUCCCAAUCACACUCUCUAGCCCAGGGUUGGGACUGAGCAGGGCAGCACCCCACAGAUGCUCCAGGGCAACACAAGUCGGCAUUGACAACAACAAGGAUAAUCAAGAACCCUCCAAACCACAUCUACCUACAACCAGCCAGGAAGCAGAUAGCUGGUCCGUAACCUGCAUUUUCUCAAUCCUGUUUUUGGAGGAGACUUCACAACACAUACUCAACACAGAAGGGUCCCCUUAUCUCUGAAGGAACGCGAAUCAUUACAGCGGACGACAUACUUGGCACCAUAUACUUCACACUCGGGACUUACAAGUCACUGCUUACUUAACAGGGGCAAAAGCUCCCUGUAAGCCUGUAUGCAGAUUAAGGAGCCCCAAGUUAGGCACAGGACCGAAGACUGCACCUGACAGUAGAAAGCCACAACUUCCUUCUUGUAAAUUCUUCUGACUUUGAAAAGUAUUGAUUGCAUCAUCCUCAGGAUCAAUCUACUCCUACACAGUUGCCUCCAAGACCUC